rnacentral:lncRNA from 1 species
GUGGGGACAAAGAAAUUUAAUGCAAAAGAAAUGAAAUUUAACAAAUAAUGCGUGCUCCUAUUUAUAUGAAUCUACUGAAUGCAUGAGAAAUGAAGAAUGAUGCAAAGAAUUGGAAACAAUGGCUAAUCCUAGAAGGCAGAUGCGAGAAAAGAAAUGAUAUAAUGCUGGUUCUGUACUAAUGGAUAUAAGAUAAAAAAAAAUGAAGUAAUGGAUGCCUAAACAAAUGUAAGAAAUAUUAUAGAUGCAGAAUUUUUGAAUCUAUUCUACUAAAUGCAAAUGAAGGAAUGAAAACUGGAAUGGAGUAUUUAGAAGUAUAAACUGACCUAAUAAACCUAACUAAAAUGCCUAAACUACUAUGUAUU